AUUCAGCAAAAACAAAACAAAAUUGCUGCCUCUUCUCUUCCUCGGCUUCCCAUUCUUCUUUUCUCAUUUGGUCUCGAUUUCCCACUCUUUUCUUCUCAACUUGGCCUCCGACGACGCCUCCCAAAGGGUUUUGGCACUGUCCCCACUGCCAUUGCCAUUAGCCAUUCAAUCCAUGGCAACCACUUUCGCUGAGAAAUCAGAAGACGAUCUUCGCAAGGAGAUCGAUGAGCUUCAACGCUAGCAAUGCGAGAUUACUGACCACCUUUGGGAUCCUCGGGGGCUUCGUCGGGGAUGCUUGCUCGGCGCUGGUCCUUGUAACUUUGCCGCCAAUGGUGCUCUUUAGAAUUAUGUUGCUCAAUCUUUCUUUAAUUUUCAUUAAUCCUUAGGUGGAAGAUUGAGAGAUCACUGAGGAUGCCAAAGCAAAUGAGGACGUGAAUGAAGAUGAUUCGGUCAAGGAAGUUACUUAUGGAAAUUUGCUGCAAAGUGGUUGGUCCAGGAGAGAUGGCAAUCAAAGACCAAUGAGGAAGACUCUGUGGGCACGUGUUUAUGCCAAGACAGAAGAGAAGAAGUUGGAAUUACUGUAUCUUCGGUGGAGUGAGCACCAUAAAAAACACUGCAAUUUUAUAAGGUUAUUUUUAUUUUUGACCCAAAAGUGUCUAUAUUCACAUUUUAUUGAGCCGAAGAUAAGUUUUUCUGUUCAUGUGCAUAAUAGUAUUGAAGCAAGUUGAUGAAUGAGUGAAGUUUCUUGCUGUAUAGCAAGGUUUUAGGUAGAAAUUCAAAACCCAUUUGUUUUAAUUGUUGGCUCAUAUUUUAUUGUUUUGAAUUUAUUCUUUUCAGGACUAAGACAGAGCCUCCAAUUUAUUAUUUGAUGAAGAAGCCACUGGAUGCAGAUGAAAUUGAGGCUGAGCAGCGAAAAGAACAGGUUUUUAUUCAUCUUGUAUUUCUCUAAGGCAUACUAGGUCACCCAUUGGUGCUGUAGCCUGUAGGUGCUGUAAUAUGCAAUGGCAAUGGCACAACAAAGAAUAGUGUUGGCGUCUAUGGGAGUGCAUGUUGUGGUCAUGAAGUCCGUUGCUCUGCUUCUUAUGGUUGGAGUUUGGGUAUUUAUUAUGGCCAUCAAUCUAUUAAUCUAUGUUUUGUAUAUUUGUACAUUGUAUUAUAUAUGUAAAUUUGGAUAGAAAUGAGUAUUCUAUAUUUAUAUAUAUAUUGUAUAUACUAUAAAUUUGUACAGAUCUAAAGGUUUAUUGUGAUUUUGAUAUUGGUUCUAUUCAUUUUGAUGCUCGAU